AUACGGAGGAUCCGAGCGUUAUCCGGAUUUAUUGGGUUUAAAGGGAGCGUAGGCGGACGCUUAAGUCAGUUGUGAAAGUUUGCGGCUCAACCGUAAAAUUGCAGUUGAUACUGGGCGUCUUGAGUACAGUAGAGGCAGGCGGAAUUCGUGGUGUAGCGGGGAAAUGCUUAGAUAUCACGAAGAAAUCCGAUUGCGAAGGCAGCUUGCUGGACUGUAACUGACGCUGAUGCUCGAAAGGGUGGGUAUCAAACAGGAUUAGAUACCCUGGUAGUCCACACAGUAAACGAUGAAUACUCGCUGUUUGCGAUAUACAGUAAGCGGCCAAGCGAAAGCGUUAAGUAUUCCACCUGGGGAGUACGCCGGCAACGGUGAAACUCAAAGGAAUUGACGGGG
rnacentral:rRNA from 1 species